UAAUCGAACUCAAAUGAAAAAAGUUUUGACUACAAAGUUUUUAAUCUUGGUAACCACACUACAACUUUUGUAUGGAACAUGUCUUGGCCAUUUGAGAAUGUUUGAAAAUUUCAGAAAUCUGAGUCUCAAAAUAUCUAAAUUUAAAACAAAACAUUGAGACUCCAAAUUACUUCGAAUCAACAAUUUAUCAACAAAAAACUUGUAGAUCAGGUCACCACUGCAACUUUUGUAUUAACCAUGCAAAUAUUGGAGGUCAUUUGGAAAUUCCAAAAUUUGAAUUUUAACAUCUAUCAACUUAAAAUACAUGUUUAGGGCUCUAAACAGCUUCAAACCAUAAACUUUCCAACUACGAAGUUCUAUAUUAUAUUCUUAAGCACAACUUUUAUUUAUACCAUGUUUACAUCUAAGGUUGUUUGAAAUUGUAAAUAGUUUCAGAUAUGAAACAUCUCCACUACAAAAGUUGUAGAUCCCAUCAAGGGCUACAAUUUUCAUAUAAAGUUUGUCUUCUUUAGGGUUUUUAUGGAAAAGUUAUGUAACGUCUUUUUGGAUGCAUCUAUUUCUAGAGGGGGAUCUCUUAACAUGCCCAUUGCUGUUAAACGAUUCUGUGGGGCUGACACUUAGAACAUCCGCCUCUGCUAAUAAUAAUGAUUCUUAGAGGCAGACAUUUCUAUUAAUCAAUUUACAGAGGUAGACAACUAGACAUCCUAAGAUUAAUAGAGGAAGUAGCCUUAGGAUACCACUUCUGUAAAUGAUUAAUAACGGCUUGCUUUUACCUGAAGGCCGCCUAGCAUUUUAUACAGAGGGUCCUUAAAUGUGCCCAGCUCUGUAUUAAUCAGAGAGGAUGUCUUCUAAAGUCCUUUUAUAGGAACACCGCCUAGCAGUUUUAUACCUACACCAAAGUUUUAGUUCUUCACACAAUCAACAAUUUUAUAGUGAACAUUUUUUAAUUUGUGAUAGUUUAGGGGCCUAAAUCUGCCUUAGAAUCCUUUCAGAUAUAUUUAAAAUAUGUUUUCAGUCCCACCAAAGCUGUAAAAGAAAUAUUCUCCUAUUGAAUCUCUAGCAUUCUUGUAGUGGGACAGAAAGGAAGGCUCGCACUAGGGUAGAGAAUUAGUUUCAAAUCCAAGGAAAUGUACUAACAUGUAUUUUCCUUGAUAAAUUGAGUUACUUAUGAAUCCUAGCGUGCCAGUGUGGUUCCUUGGUGGGCUUAAGUUGACUGUAUGGCCGAAUCUCGAAAAAUGUUUUAUAGAGCGUUGCCUCUCCUAAGGCAGGCACCUCUGAACAUAGAUAUAUAUUGGUAAGUUUUAGGAUCCUGCUUCUGUAUACAAUUUUCAUAGGUCAAUCCUUUGCCGCUUCUAUAAAGGAACCAGUUCCACAGACCUAGCUCCAUAAUCCAGUUUUGACCGUCUUUGUAAAUCACUUAUUUAACAAAAUGCAGGUACAGGGUGGUUGGAUGUAAAUCCUAGUAUUGAUGGUUGCUUGCAAUCCAUUCAGGAUGUCCUCUAUAUAUACUUCUUGUGAGGCCCGAUAGAAGCCUAAACUUCGUCAUACAUAUAUAGAGGUAUAUAUAAAUCUUGCCAUAUGGUGUCAAUUUAUUAAAUAUCAUCGCGAGAGCUCUAAAUUCGACUAGAUACGAAUUCGGGUUUCCAUUACAAGAGCUCUAGUUGAAACUAACGCAGCAUGAGACUGGAUGAGAUACCAUUGGGUAUGAGAGGCACCGGGAACUGUGAUUUCCAACGUACAUCUCCAGCAUGGUCUUUGAGACUUUGACAUCUCCAGCAUGGUCUUCGACGUUCAGUCGUUGUGGUCUGACAAAGAAAUGAAGGCACUGGCUGGUUGUUGCAGGAUAGAACUAACUCAAGUCCCUCCUGUGCGCUGUUGCUUGGAGUCCUAGGAUGUUUCUCCUUAGGUGUUAUAUGGAGCUCGAUCGGGUAAGCCUUCAUCAACUAAUAUAAUGGAUGGUACGUGGACAUUUCUCUCUUCUGUGAACCACAACGGCUGCCCAAUGCUCACUUGUAGCUAGCUGAGGAUGGUUCCAGGAAAUUGCUAGUUUCUUUUUGAAGUUUAUCAUCUUUCAUAAUGACUAUUAGUGAAGCUAUUUGUGAACCUGUGCACUUGUGCGGGCUUGUUUAUGAAAUUUUAAAUUAUUUAUAACUAUGAUUUUUUUGAAGUAAGAUGGAAUGUCUUGAAUAGAGAUGAAUCAGCUUUUGCGAGGUAGUUAAUCCAUUAGCUGGAAUUAUCUUAAGUAACACUAUGGAAGCACUUUAGGAGGAAGCAGAAUGCAUCCUUCGCCUUAGCUCGAGGGAGACACGUUGGUUAUAGUCACAUGUUAUCAGCAAUUAUACCAUGAACUCUUUUGGACCAAAUAAAAGGGUCUUCAUGUAGAAAUCAAAAUGCCACAAUGAAAGUGCCCCCGUUUUCCCUUCCAAUUGUUCUGUUCAACGCCUUACCCUUUUUUCAUUUUUCUUAGCACAAGGCUCUCUCUGCACUAGUUCAGGGUUAAUUUUCCUUACCGAGCAAGGGAAAAAGCUCGAGCUAAGGAGAAGAGAGCCUCUCUCACCACACUAUUUCAUUAGAUCUAUAAGAGAAACAGACGUGUGGGACAGGAUGUGUGCACCACUAGGAACG
rnacentral:lncRNA from 1 species